CACGUAGGGCGCGAGCGUUGUCCGGAAUUAUUGGGCGUAAAGAGCUCGUAGGCGGUUUGUCGCGUCUGCCGUGAAAGUCCGGGGCUCAACCCCGGAUCUGCGGUGGGUACGGGCAGACUAGAGUGAUGUAGGGGAGACUGGAAUUCCUGGUGUAGCGGUGAAAUGCGCAGAUAUCAGGAGGAACACCGAUGGCGAAGGCAGGUCUCUGGGCAUUAACUGACGCUGAGGAGCGAAAGCAUGGGGAGCGAACAGG
rnacentral:rRNA from 1 species